rnacentral:lncRNA from 1 species
GGCACUUCCUCGGGUAGCAAAUCUGCAAAAUCAUUCAAAACACCAACAAUUUCUAAAGGCAAAUCGUUAGGUAACUCAUUAGUAACCAAACAAGUUUCAUGGUACAAAAGCAUAAUCACUGGUUUGUGAGAAUUCAUGGCCCUAUCUACAUCUCUCAUGCUAGCAAAGAAAGUGCCUUUUUUUUCACUUGCUUUUGGUU